GCCCGCCUAGCUCAAUCGGAUAGAGCGUCAGACUCUUAUAGGGGGAAGCAUAACAUCCUGUGUAGGCGAUCUGAAGGCUGCGAGUUCGACCCUCGCGGUGGGCU
rfam:Moniliophthora roreri MCA 2997 sctg_0212_0001, whole genome shotgun sequence.